UACGGAGGGUGCAAGCGUUAUCCGGAAUCACUGGGCGUAAAGGGCGCGUAGGCGGUCUGUUAAGUCUGGCGUUAAAGCCUGGGGCUCAACCCCAGAUCAGCGUUGGAUACUGGCAGGCUAGACGGUUGGAGAGGCGAGUGGAAUUACCAGUGUAGCGGUGGAAUGCGUAGAUACUGGUAGGAACACCCAUUGCGAAGGCAGCUCGCUGGACAACACGUGACGCUGAGGCGCGAAAGUGUGGGGAGCAAACCGGAUUAGAUACCCGU
rnacentral:rRNA from 1 species